rnacentral:rRNA from 1 species
UACGUAGGCAGCAAGCGUUGUUCGGAGUUACUGGGCGUAAAGCGUGCGUAGGCGGUGUCUUAAGUUUGUUGUGAAAUCUCCCGGCUUAACCGGGAGGGUGCGGCGAAUACUGAGAUGCUGGAGUGCCGGAGAGGUAAGCGGAAUUCCUGGUGUAGCGGUGAAAUGCGUAGAUAUCAGGAGGAACACCUGCGGUGUAGACGGCUUACUGGACGGUAACUGACGCUGAGGCACGAAAGCGUGGGUAGCAAACAGG